CUCUGAAGUUUCCAAAUACUCGCCAAAAUUAAUCAUCAAUUCCAAAAGCAUCUGAUAGCCUCAAAUUCGUUCAAAAUCGCUGUGUAUGUGGCAUUCGUCUUAAAAUUAUUAUCAAGAUUAUGAAGAUCAAUGUUUUUUCAUCAAGAUUGGUGAAGUAGACAGUAGUAGUGUUUCUAUAAUGGACACGGACAUAUGAAAUACCCAAACGCAUUCCACGCUGUUCUCCACCAAAAAAAACAUCAAUGAUUCAGUUUCUCUCUGCUUCAGUAAUGGCUAUUGGGAGUGUAGUUGGCUUCGUCGGUUUGGAAUUGGCUACUUCGCUUCUUCAUUCGGGUUACUCUCUUCAGCCCCUCGAGAGGGGCUUUGCAGCUUUGUGGAGGCCUCAUCUGUUCCAAUAUAACAUUAGCUCUUUGAGGGAUUCAGGGAUGCACCAUUUCCCUUCUAGUGUAUUCAUCUGUUCGUUCCAAUUGCCUAUUACUCUUGUACAUAUGUUUACAAAUUCCUAUCAAUAAUCUCACUUGCUGUGUUUAUCUUAAUUUCUUCUUCAGAUUGUAAGUGUACAUGAAGAGAACGUAAACAUCCACGUGGCAAUACUAUUCAGAGUUUAGUGCUUUUUAGAAUCAAUUGGAUUAAGUUGGGGGUGGAAAACAAAUCUCUACGAGGAAAGAAUGUUUGGCCAAGGAAAAUCAGAUGUCAGACACUGACCUAUUCAACGGCAAGAAACAGAACGUCUUCAGCUAGACUACACACAUGUUGGGAGGGGGGGAGGUCAAGUGAUGAUCUCACUGCAUAUGGACUCAUAUCUGAAUUUGUGAGGCGGUUUCUAGUUUUAGUGAGUUUAUCUUCACUGGAUGAGGAUCAUCUUGUUCACGUUUGUCUACUCUUUUUGCCUUUUUGCAAUGUAGUUUCUAGUUUCACGUUUUCAUGAUUUAAUCGGCUUUUUGGGAACUCCAACCCUGCUUAGGAGGUUGAUGACCAACUUUAAAAUAGUCAUAUUAUGAUGAAUCCUCAUAGUGUUUGUUGAGAUGAUGUCCUAAUGAAAUUGGCCCAACCAGAGUGAAUUACACCCGACUUUUACAUGUGGUUUUGAUCGAUUGAUUGGAUGGGGAACUUUGGGAGUUUGUUCAUUUUGCUUUUAGGUGCUAUUGUGGACUCUUAGCUGACAUUAAGAAGGGAAGACUAGUAAACUCAGUAUGUUCUGUUAAAAGUAUCCUUUUCCAAUAUUUGCUUUUUCUAUCUUUCUUUGAUCAUUUUUUCCAUGUUGAUAUCAGUAAAAUCAUCUUUACCCCUCUAGAAUUUGAGCUUGAGGUGCUGCUUCCGCGUGCCAACAAUUUACAUUAUCGAACUUCUUCAAAUAAAUCUCCAUUUUUGCAGAUUCUUUGCAUUUAUAGUCUAGAUCAGAAGUACUCUUGAAUUUGUAGCUUAUUAUUCAAAUAUCUGAUUUUAAGUACCUUAACCUAGUUAAAUGCAAUAAUCUUACAAUAGUUGCUUUAUACAUGGACAGAGAAGCCAACCAACCUAUGAAAAUGAAGCAGUGUGUUUGUAAAACAGUCAUUUACACCUGUUGUGAAAAGUCUUUGUGAGGUUCAACUUGUAUGCAUUGAGAAAUUAUUUGUUUAUGAUUUUUGGACUACCAGGAGAAGGAAAAAAAAUAUGUAGGCUGCUUGAAGAUGAAAGAGAAUAUUUGAAGUUGAUGUUCUCUUUUGCUUUUCACCUUUCAUAUUGUUUCUUACUUCCUUUUUUUUCCUUUUAAUUGUGGAUGCUUAUUUUUGCUCUCACAGAACCCAAAGAUGCUCUUUGCAAGAAAUACAAGCAAUCAACUUGAAUAAUGUCGAUUUACAGUUUACCGAGAAUGCACUUCGAGUUAUUGUUGAGUAAAGCAUUGCCAAAAAUACUGGUGAACGAGGCUUAAGAUCUAUACUAGAAAGUAUUCUGACUGAAGUCUUGUUUGAGGUAUUGCAUGACACCACAACUUUUUGUAUUUGGUGUUAAUUCUGGAAGAGCUUGGAAAAAUGUCACCCAUUUUUCUCUUCACAUUGAGGCAACUAUAGGGAGGAGAUAUGUCACCUUUUAUUUGAGAGUUUGAAGUACUUGCUUUUGAGUAUUACUUUUAAAAUUUUACUUGAGCACCCCAUGAGUGUUGACAUAGCUAUCUUAUGUAGAACUUUUCUCCAAAUUCCAAAAUGAACCUAAACAUGACUUUUACCUGUCUUUUGAAAUGUGCCUGAAUAUUGGUUUCAAAGGCUUGUGUUUCAUUGUCAAGUAGACUACAUGGAUUCUCUUUUGUAAUCUGGUUCACUUUUGCACUAUCAACAGCAUAGUUAUUCAAUUAUUUUUUGGUGUUCAUGUUUGUUUGCACGUUGCUGACUUCAAUGUCGAAGCAGCUCAGCAAGAGGUUGUCUACAUAGAUGAAGUUGAUAAAAUAGCUAAACAGGUCCAAAAAUUAUUAUCUACUUUAUGAAUUUGGAUAAUUGACUUUAAAGACGUAAUCAUUCUCAUCGUAAUCUCUAUAGGCUGAGAGCCUUAACAUUGGCAGAGAUGUAUCUGAGGAGGACGUCCAACAGGCGCUGCCGAAGAUGCUUGAAGGAACUAUUGUAAGUGUACCUGAUAAUAGAGCACGGAAGCAUCCAUGUGGCGAUACUAUUCAGGUAUACUGGAUCUAUUAUAGGAUGGUAAUAUAGUUUAGUGGGAAAAACACUAACCACUUGCUAUUUGGAUGGUAAUAUAGUUUUGUGCUUUUUAGAAUCUAUUUGAUUAAGUUGGGGGUGAAAUACAAUCUCUAGUCUCUACUGGGAAAGAUUGUUUGUUCAAGAAAAAUCAGAUGUCGGACACUGGCCUAUCCAACAAACAAGAAACAACACUUCUUCAGCUAAUUAACUACACUUAUGUUGGGAGUGGGAAGUCGAGUCAAAUGCUGGUUUAUAUGCCUUGCAGCAAUAAUCUACGAAGACUGUGAAGUUGUAACGAGCUGGACAUUAAUUGUUCAUUAGCUUGUCACUGUUCUCAUCCCUGUGGUUUAGAGAAGACAAUUGCAGAAAGGUUAUCUUGUCAUACUCAAUUAAUUUCAUGAAACACUUUGUGAGGAGAUCCCUGUGACUUGAGCAUAGUUUUCUUUUCCGGAUCACUAUUUUGUAAAUCUAGUGAUUUUAUGACUCUUUAUUCUCGUGAAAUUUUAAAAGCUAAAUGCAUCAGAAGCAUUAGUUUGACAUUGCUUUCUGUAUCUCGGUAGAAAGUGAUGAUUUCACUA